UGGUAUUGCUGGAAUACCAGGUUUGCAAGGACUUUCUGGUGCCAAGGGAGAACCUGGCAAUCAGGGCAUUCCUGGACCACCAGGGAUCCCAGGCAUCACUGGCCUUCGUGGAGCACCGGGUGCAAAAGGAGACAAAGGAGACUCAGGGCUUCAAGGACAAAAAGGGACAAAAGGAGAAGUAGGAGUUUCAGGU